UCAUCAGUGUUUGAGCAGUUAUGAUAUCAGGGACAAUCUAGACAUGUGUGACAAUACUGAACAUGUCACAUGACUCACCUUAAACAUCAUGUGAUCCACUCUCAGUCUGCACUUUCAUUCAUGACUUCAACAGGUUGAAAUGAGCUUUGAAGAAACAUUCAGUGAAAUAAAUCUUUCAUGGAUUCAUGUGAGCAGCAGAUGAACUUUGUACCAACAACAUCUUCAAUAACAGAAUCUGAAUGAAGCUCAGGUGUUGAUGCUGCUCCCUGAUUGGACGGUUGGUUUCAGCUCUGCUCUCAGUCUUUACUGCACAGGUGAAGGUAGAAAGUGUGACUGGAUCUAUAGACUGGAAACAGAGAAACAUGCUGAACAUUUGAAGCUUUGCAGCAGAAAUGUUCAUGUUACAAAUACAGCAGAGCUGAUCUGGGAUCAGUGUGUUCACACCUGCAGCUACAACAAGGUUUCAUGUCUCCACACGUCAGCAUGUGAACUUUACUCUGACUCAGUCUGAGCAGUCAGACGGCAUAUUUUUAAAGUUAACACAUCAGCACACACAGAGCUGAGCCCCUCCCACCUGUGCUGAGCUUCAGGUGGAGUCCCGCCUCCUUCCAGGAAGCAGCUCACCUGUGUGUCCGUGUUUAGUGUCCAGGUGUGGAGUGGAGCUUGUUGUUGGUGUGAAGAAACUGUCCUUAGAUCACAUGACCUGGAUGACUGAACCUACAGACAUAUUGACCUGGUUUCUAGGUUACAUGAAAGACUGACUGAAGAUGAUGAUGGAGGAAGAGGAGGACAGAGCAGAGUCUGCAGGGUCCAGCUGUCCGUCUGUGAGGAGUGACGGGUCCAAAGGUCUAAAUGCAGCCUUCAGUGGUGAACCUGGACCAACGAGAGGUCAGAGGUCACAGUCUGCAGGGUCCAGCUGUCCGUCUGUGAGGAGUGACCGGUCCAAAGGUCGACCUCCAGCCUUCAGUGGUGAACCUGGACCAACGAGAGUGGACCAGCAGAGCUCAGAGGUUCCCAGUGGUCAGUCUGCCCAGCAGCAUCAAACACAGCUGGACUCCAUAUUUAUGGUCUGUACAUGAACAACAACUACUGUUACAUCUGUUCUGUCCACAGUCAUCUCCAUGCUGCUCUUUGUAGACCAGUGUCAGUGUGUCCAACAUGGAUCUGAUGUUUGGCUCCAUGAUUUCAGUCUGAUUGGCUCAUUCAUAAAUAUUCU